rnacentral:rRNA from 1 species
GAUGAACGCUGGCGGCGUGCCUAAUACAUGCAAGUCGAGCGAACAGACGAGGAGCUUGCUCCUCUGACGUUAGCGGCGGACGGGUGAGUAACACGUGGAUAACCUACCUAUAAGACUGGGAUAACUUCGGGAAACCGGAGCUAAUACCGGAUAAUAUAUUGAACCGCAUGGUUCAAUAGUGAAAGACGGUUUUGCUGUCACUUAUAGAUGGAUCCGCGCCGCAUUAGCUAGUUGGUAAGGUAACGGCUUAACAAGGCGACGAUGCGUAGCCGACCUGAGAGGGGGAGCGGCCACACGGGAACUGAGACACGGUCCAGACUCCUACGGGAGGCAGCAGUAGGGAAUCUUCCGCAAUGUGCGAAAGCCUGACGGAGCAACGCCGCGUGAGUGAUGAAGGUCUUCGGAUCGUAAAACUCUGUUAUGAGGGAAGAACAAAUGUGUAAGUAACUAUGCACGUCUUGACGGUACCUAAUCAGAAAGCCACGGCUAACUACGUG